UGCAAAGUUGUGUAGUGCGAUCGGUGGAUGCCUUGGCACCAAGAGCCGAUGAAGGACGUUGUGACCUGCGAUAAGCCCUGGGGAGUUGGUGAGCGAGCUGUGAUCCGGGGGUGUCCGAAUGGGGAAACCUGGAAUGUCCGGAGUAGUGUCCGGUGGCCCUGCCCUGAAUGUAUAGGGGUGUGGGUGGUAACGCGGGGAAGUGAAACAUCUUAGUACCCGUAGGAAGAGAAAACAAGUGUGAUUCCGUGAGUAGUGGCGAGCGAAAGCGGAGGAGGCUAAACCGUGUGUGUGUUCAAGCCGGCAGGUGUUGCAUGUGCGGGGUUGUGGGGGCCUUGUGGUUCUGCUGCCGCAGGAUUGGCCAGUGAGAAAUGUUGCGUGAAGGUGAAGCGUCUGGGAAGGCGUACCGGAGUGGGUGAGAGUCCUGUAACUGUAAGCGUGGCACUGGUGUGGGGUUGCCCCGAGUAGCGUGGGACUCGUGGAAUUUCGCGUGAAUCUGGCGGGACCACCCGUCAAGCCUAAAUACUCCUUGGUGACCGAUAGUGGAUGAGUACCGUGAGGGAAGGGUGAAAAGUACCCCGGGGGGGGAGUGAAAGAGUUCCUGAAACCGGUCGCAUGCAAGCCGUCAGAGCCUGUGUGGUGAUGGCGUGCCUUUUGAAGAAUGAGCCUGCGAGUUAGUGAUGCGUGGCGAGGUUAACCCGUGGUGCGGGAGUCGUAGCGAAAGCGAGUCCGAUAAGGGCGUGAGUCGCGUGUUCUAGACCCGAAGCGGUGUGAUCUAUCCAUGGCCAGGAUGAAGCGUCGGUAAGACGUCGUGGAGGUCCGAACCCACUUCAGUUGAAAAUGGAGGGGAUGAGUUGUGGAUAGGGGUGAAAGGCCAAUCAAACACCGUGAUAGCUGGUUCUCCCCGAAAUGCAUUUAGGUGCAGCGUUGCGUGGUUCUUGUUGGAGGUAGAGCACUGGAUGGUCUAGGGGGCUUAUCGGCUUACCGAAAUCAGCCAAACUCCGAAUGCUGGCAAGUGUAGCGUGGCAGUGAGACGGCGGGGGCGUGAAGGUGAAGCGUCUGGGAAGGCGUACCGGAGUGGGUGAGAGUCCCCUAAGUGGUGACUCAGUGGGAAAGGAUGUGGAGUUGCGUAGACAACCAGGAGGUUGGCUUGGAAGCAGCCAUCCUUGAAAGAGUGCGUAAUAGCUCACUGGUCAAGUGAUUCCGCGCCGAUAAUGUAGCGGGGCUUAAGUUAUCCGCCGAAGCUGUGGCAACCUGUGUGGUUGGGUAGGGGAGCGUCGUGUCAGUGGUGAAGCUGCCGGGUGACUGUGUGGUGGAGUUGAUGCGAGUGAGAAUGCAGGCAUGAGUAGCGUGUGACGGGUGGGAAUCCCGUCCGCCGAUUAUCCAAGGGUUCCAGGGUCAAGUUUGUCUGCCCUGGGUGAGUCGGGUCCUAAGGCGAGGCCGACAGGCGUAGUCGAUGGGUAACCAGUUGAUAUUCUGGUACCGGCUUGUCACCGUCCGUGUCGAGGUGUGUGAUGCUAAGCAUGUGAGCUUGUCUUGGGAGUGUUUUUGAUGCUUCUGGGGUGGGUGAGUGUGUGAACCGAUCAUGUAGUAGGCAAGCUGCGGAGGGACGCAGUGAGGUAGCUCAUCCCCGGUGAUGGUUGUCCGGGGCUAAGUGUGUGGACUGUCUGGUAGGUAAAUCCGCUGGGCGUGAAGGUUGAGGCAUGAUGGGGAGCCCAUGGUUGUGGGUGAGUGAGUGAUCCUGUACUGUCGAGAAAAGCUUCGUGAGCGAGGUGGCGGGUCCGCCCGUACCCUAAACCGACACUGGUGGAUAGGUAGAGUAUACCGAGGCGAUCGAGUGAAUCGUGGUGAAGGAACUCGGCAAAAUGCCCCCGUAACUUUGGGAUAAGGGGGACCUGAGCUGUCGUGCACCCGUGCGGUGUGGUGGCGGUGAGGGGCGCAGAGUCCAGGGGGAAACGACUGUUUACCAAAAACACAGGUCCGUGCGAAGUCGUAAGACGAUGUAUACGGACUGACUCCUGCCCGGUGCUGGAAGGUUAAGGGGAACUGUGAGUGUAUGCGUAGCGGUGAACUUAAGCCCCAGUAAACGGCGGUGGUAACUAUAACCAUCCUAAGGUAGCGAAAUUCCUUGUCGGGUAAGUUCCGACCUGCACGAAUGGAGUAACGAUUUCCCUACUGUCUCCACCAUGAACUCGGUGAAAUUGCAUUACGAGUAAAGAUGCUCGUUACGCGCAGCAGGACGGCAAGACCCCGGGACCUUUACUAUAGUUUGGUAUUGGUGAUUGGGACGGUUUGUGUAGGAUAGGUGGGAGACGUUGAUGCGGCCACGCUAGUGGUGGUGGAGUCGUUGGUGAAAUACCACUCUGAUUGUUCUGGUUAUCUCACUGUGGACCGUGAUCCGGUUCAAGGACAGUGCCUGAUGGGUAGUUUGACUGGGGCGGUCGCCUCCUAAAGGGUAACGGAGGCGCCCAAAGGUUCCCUCAGCCUGGUUGGUAAUCAGCGAGUGAAUCGUGGUGAAGGAACUCGGCAAAAUGCCCCCGUAACUUUCGAGCAGGGACGAAAGUCGGGACUAGUGAUCUGACGGUGGCUUGUGGAUGCGCCGUCACUCAACGGAUAAAAGGUACCCCGGGGAUAACAGGCUGAUCUUGCCCGAGCGCUCAUAGCGACGGCAUGGUUUGGCACCUCGAUGUCGGCUCGUCGCAUCCUGGGGCUGGAGUCGGUCCCAAGGGUUGGGCUGUUCGCCCAUUAAAGCGGCACGCGAGCUGGGUUCAGAACGUCGUGAGACAGUUCGGUCCCUAUCCGCUGCGCGCGGAGGAAUCUUGAGAAGGGCUGUCUUUAGUACGAGAGGACCGAGACGGACUGACCUCUGGUGUGCCAGUUGUUCUGCCAAGAGCAUGGCUGGUUGGCUACGUCGGGUUGUGAUAACCGCUGAAAGCAUCUAAGCGGGAAGCACGCUUCAAGAUAAGGGUUCCCACAGGAGUGUUCCUGGUAAGGUCCCCGAGAGAUGAUCGGGUUGAUAGGCCAGACGUGGACGCAUCGUAAGGUGUGGAGCUGACUGGUACUAAUAGACCGAGGACUUUCAUU
rnacentral:rRNA from 1 species